GCACCGUUUCAGUAUUUCUCCUCUUUUUGAAUUCAGUUAUAAAGUCAGCUUUGUAUUUUCUUGGACCAGGGACGCCUGAGUUCUCCACUUACUUUUAACGUUCAAGAGGUCCUGUGAAGUGCAAUCAUAUUUUUGCUUUGCGCUCAGAUUGGUUUGUCUUUGUGUCCCACAUCAUGUACUGCUUAAAGAACUGGUAUUCAGACAGUGUGGCCCUGAACACCAAACCCAUCCGACUGUCCAUCUUCCUCAUCGCCGGUGUGUGUGCGGGUUUUCCAGCUCUUAUUUGGGCUCUCAGUGUACUGUACCGCCAUUAUAAGAGCGGAGGUCGAACCUCAGACUUCGCCAACUUCCUCCUCCUCAGUGACCUGCUGGAGCUGAUCCUGACUCCAUUCCUUGUAACAUAUAUAUUCAAAGAGGAUUUUAAUCCAUGUGGAAUUUUUGGACUAUUGUUUGGGGCCAGGCUGCUUGGGCAUCUGCUUCACCAGACAGUGGCGUUAGAGAGCAUUUGCCAAAGAUAUCGAUUACUUGCUGAUGUUUUCUUUCCUCCCUGCUCUAUCGUUUUCUGCAUCAUUUUUCCUCUAGCAGUUGGAUGUCAUUUCAUACAUGACAUUACAUAUGUGAUAACUUCAAUUGUAUGCAUAUUGCCUGUGAUUGUGUGUGCAGUCACAUACAUAUUAACUUGGAAAGUACCUCAUGACAGCGACCAGGCCACAGACAGGAAGCCUGGUGUGCUGGUUGUAACUGUUGCCAUGUUUACAUUGAUCCUUAUAUACAUACCAUUUUUCUUGACUGUUUUUACUGGCAUUCCUUUUAUGUUGGACUGUUUAACAUGUUUGAGAUUAAUCUCUGAUCCCCUCCUGUGUGUACUCGUCUGCAAGGAGGUCGCUUUCAAUUCACACAAAGAUCGUAGGCAUGGAUCACAUGCAUUAAAUUAGAAACUUUGA